ACACAUGCAAGUCGAGCGGUAAGGCCUUUCGGGGUACACGAGCGGCGAACGGGUGAGUAACACGUGGGUGAUCUGCCCUGCACUUCGGGAUAAGCCUGGGAAACUGGGUCUAAUACCGGAUAUGACCUCCUAUCGCAUGGUGGGUGGUGGAAAGAUUUAUCGGUGCAGGAUGGGCCCGCGGCCUAUCAGCUUGUUGGUGGGGUAAUGGCCUACCAAGGCGACGACGGGUAGCCGACUGAGAGGGUGACCGGCCACACUGGGACUGAGACACGGCCCAGACUCUACGGGAGGCAGCAGUGGGGAAUAUUGCACAAUGGGCGAAAGCCUGAUGCAGCGACGCCGCGUGAGGGAUGACGGCCUUCGGGUUGUAAACCUCUUUCAGCAGGGACGAAGCGCAAGUGACGGUACCUGCAGAAGAAGCACCGGCUAACUACGUGCCAGCAGCCGCGGUAAUACGUAGGGUGCAAGCGUUGUCCGGAAUUACUGGGCGUAAAGAGUUCGUAGGCGGUUUGUCGCGUCGUUUGUGAAAACCAGCAGCUCAACUGCUGGCUUGCAGGCGAUACGGGCAGACUUGAGUACUGCAGGGGAGACUGGAAUUCCUGGUGUAGCGGUGAAAUGCGCAGAUAUCAGGAGGAACACCGGUGGCGAAGGCGGGUCUCUGGGCAGUAACUGACGCUGAGGAACGAAAGCGUGGGUAGCGAACAGGAUUAGAUACCCUGGUAGUCCACGCCGUAAACGGUGGGCGCUAGGUGUGGGUUCCUUCCACGGAAUCCGUGCCGUAGCUAACGCAUUAAGCGCCCCGCCUGGGGAGUACGGCCGCAAGGCUAAAACUCAAAGGAAUUGACGGGGGCCCGCACAAGCGGCGGAGCAUGUGGAUUAAUUCGAUGCAACGCGAAGAACCUUACCUGGGUUUGACAUAUACCGGAAAGCUGCAGAGAUGUGGCCCCCCUUGUGGUCGGUAUACAGGUGGUGCAUGGCUGUCGUCA
rnacentral:rRNA from 1 species